ensembl:snRNA U1 U1 spliceosomal RNA
AUACUUGCCUGGCAGGGGAGAUACCAUGAUCAAAAAGGUGGUUUUUCCCAGGGCAAGUCUUAUCUAUUACACUCCAGAUGCGCUGACCCCUGUUGUGCUGGAUAGCUUUAGUGUCAACUUGACACACCUGGGUUGAGGGAACCUCAGUUGGGGAAUUUCCUC